rnacentral:rRNA from 1 species
UACGUAGGGGGCAAGCGUUGUCCGGAAUCAUUGGGCGUAAAGCGCGUGUAGGCGGUCCGGUAAGUCCGCUGUGAAAGUCGGGGGCUCAACCCUCGGAUGCCGGUGGAUACUGUCGGGCUAGAGUACGGAAGAGGCGAGUGGAAUUCCUGGUGUAGCGGUGAAAUGCGCAGAUAUCAGGAGGAACACCAAUUGCGAAGGCAGCUCGCUGGGACGUUACUGACGCUGAGACGCGAAAGCGUGGGGAGCAAACAGG